rnacentral:lncRNA from 1 species
CUGGGGCGAGCCCCCCUUGGUUCUGGAGAGGAAAUGACAUACAGUUUGUGAAAGCAUAAAUAUUCGUGAAAAUAAGAAAAUUCAGGAAGGAAACAAAGCUUAAGGCAGUGAUUGAUAGGUUAUUUCUUGGACACAGCUGAACGUAUACUGUGCGCCUGCAACUUUCCGGUGGUUUCGGACCGGACUUCAGUGAAGCCAGUGAAGUCGGUCGACUUGCAGAACUUCCUUUCAGAGGGGCGUACACAGCACCGCGGCCGUGUGCCUGUGAUCUCCUUCUGAGUUUGAAAAAGAAGAUCCUAGACACCGAGCCAAAUAUGUUUGCAUAAACCGGGAGACUUGUGGCUCUAUUUUGUAACAGCUUGGCGCAGGGCAGCUGGUUUGGAGAUGUCUCUGUUCUUCCCUUGGUGGGGGUGCCGGAAAAAAUGUGCUGCCUGGGCGAUCGAGGUUGGGGCAAAAGCGUUGCAAAGGAAAAGUUCCUGUAAACAUCUGUCCAGGGCCUGAGCUCAGAAGGCAGAAUCCGUCGUGGAGCGUGUCCAACUCCUACCCCAAGAGCAGCCUCCAUGUUUACCCACGGACUGGGCUCACACACAGGCAGGCAGCUCCGAGCUCUGAGCACCUCAGCAUCCUUGGACUCUGAGCUAGCGUGGUCACAUGUCGGGGGGACAGAGUUCCCCAGCCCUUACCCUGCAGUCUUGCUUCUGAUAGGGAAACCUUGAGCUCGUAGUGACUGUGGGGCUGGCUCUCCAGGACAAGCCCCUCCAGUGGAGCCAGGAACCAGGAUGGAAGGUUGGGUUUGGGGGUGGACUGAUGGCCUGGAGUUCACUGCCACCUAUUUUCUUUUCCUCUUUUUCCAUCUCACCCAGAGCUGUGGGAAGAGGCCUUGACAACAGGUGAGAUUUGGGGCACCUGACUGUGACUUCAACCCAGCAGGUGGGGUUGGCCCAAAGCAGUUCCCCAGCUUGUCCUCUCAGGUCCUCUGGACACCCUUCCCCACCACACAUAACCCUGGACCUUCACAGCUCCCACACCACCAUCCACACCUAGGAAAGGACAUCGGACUGGAGGUCAGGGGCCUAGGAUUCAAGUCCCAGCUCUGCCGACAGCUACCAGUGUAUUCUUGGGCAAGUCACUGAACCUCUGUGGGUCCUGAUUCCCUUACCUGUAAGAGAGUGAUAAUCAUAAGGCCCUCUGCAUUGCUCUAAGGAUCAAGAUAAUGCUUGUGAAAGUCUUCACUGUACUCUAAAGUGUGAUUAAUAUAUAUUCUUUAUCCUGGAAUCUCCUAUCUCCUUUGAGUCCUGUUAAAUAAAC